CUCCCUGUGCUGCUGCUGCUGCUGCUGCUGGUCCAGGGGUCCCGCUGUGAGGAGCACGUCUCGCAGGCCUGCAGCCCCUAGGGCCUGGCCACCCGGCUGCUCAGGCAGGGCUUCCCCAGGACCGGAGGAGAGGGGUGAGCGGCCCAAGACGGAAGACACAGUCUUCUUCUCACUGGAUCUACGUGCCCGCCCCAGCCCCAUCGUUCCUGGCAGGGGCCCAGAGGUGACUUCCCAGUGACGCAUUUGCUGGCUCUGAAUUUGUCACACAGGUUCUGUGGGCGCCCUGCUGGUGCCCUUGGGCGGGAAGAGGGGAGUGGAUCAGAGGCCUGAGUCAUGCAGUAUGAAUACUGGAACCCUCAGUUGCUGUACAGGGGGAACCCCAGAGCCCUAGGGGG